CAGGUUAUCUACUUGCAUGCAAAAGGUUUACCGAAAACAAUUUAAGAUUAUGAAAGCAGUUGCUGUGACACUCUUACUCUCUCUAUGCAGAUGACCCCAGCAUUAUGGAAUGGAAGAGGAUUAGAUAUUUAUGCCUUACGGCCGAUUAAAAACUACUGCGGUGAAUGGAAAAUGAUUCAGUGCCCAAAAAUCAAUGCUUGAAUGAGGUCAGGUGGAGCAGAACUACUCAGUGAACUGUAAGGGAAGCUUCAUCUUCCCCUGAUUCCACAAUUUCACAUGACUGCAAUCUGUGUCAAAGAUAAACAUAUUGGAUUCAAAAGCAAAGAUGCUGCUUGACCAGCUGAAUAUUUGAAAUGUUUUCAGAAUUCACUUCUGAGUUCUUGUGUCUGCACUACCUUCUUAACUUAGCCUAUUAAUAUUGGUUGGCCACUGAAAUCAUAACAACAAGCAUAUUGCAAGAAAAUGGCUUGCUACUUGUAUUGUGACCAUCAUGCACAGAUGAAGAAGAAGAAUAGCGCUUAACUCGGCAGUGGAGUUAUCAGGGCACCGUCAUGAUGGCGUUUCCGUAGCAAGCUAUUUUUGUUUUUUAUGAGGCUGAGUUGCUAGCUCAACGCUCAACCCGACUUGGAUUCGAACUCGGGACCUUUCGCUCCGGAAUCCGAUGCAGAUAUUAUUGCACCACCAAGCGGGUAUGUGCACAGAAGAAGAGCAUAAGAAACAGGAGCAGGCCACUUGGCUUCUUGAGCUUGCUGCUUCAUUCAGUAAGAUCACAACUGAUACUGUCUCGACUUUAACACCACUUUCUGAGCAAUUUGCCUACCACCACAAGUCAAAGUAGACACAAUUUCAUUGGCUCUCUACCCAGUUUUGGGGCAUCUAGACAACAGCAAUGCAUACGUCAGUCUGAUGUUUAUUGACUGCAUAGAGCUCAGCUUUCAAUACCAUAAUUCCUUCAGUACUAAUCAACAAGCAUCAUAACUUGGGCCUCUGUACCUCUCUCUGCAAAUGGAUGCUUGACUUCCUCAUUGGAGUGCAGAUCAAUAACAAUACAUCCUCCUCACUGACAAUCAACACAGACUCACCUCAAGAUUACAUGCUUAGCCUACUGCUCUACUCUCUCUACUCUAAUGAAUGCAUGGCUAGGCACAGCCUAAAUGCCAUCCAUAUAUUCACAGAUGACACCCCUGAUUCUGAUCUCAGUUCCCACACUGACGGUGUUUCCCAGUAUGCUUCAAUAUUGUGGCAACCAUUUGGUCCAGAAUGACAGACGAGGAAGUUCUUUAACUCAACAACAGUUUUUAUUGUGAUACAUACGAAAACAGACUGGGCCCAUAACCUGGAGAGAGAACAGCUCACUUUCAUACCGAUGGGGGAGGAGACCAUCAUACACCCUGGUUACUGUUAGGGUGACCCCAAUUACACAAGCAAGUAACAGUAUAACCCUAGCUAAAAUGUGACAAUAAAUGAACUAACACUUCUCACCAUAAUUCUAUAAAAGCAUCUUAACACAUGAACCAUUAACGGUGCUGGUUAUUAGAAAUGCAAGAGCAGGCUGUUAACCACAUUCCCGCCCCGGAGCAUCACACUAUGUUUCAGGAAGAUCCAUCCCAUUCUUUCUAUAUUCCAACAAGUAUAACCUAACCUGCUGAAUCUUCCUUCGUACAUCAUCCUCUUCUUCCCAGUCAGUCAUCAACCUGGUGACCAGUCUCUGUGUUGACCCAACACAUGUAUAUUAUUCCCUGUAUAAGGAAACUAAAGCUUCAGCUGUGGUCUCACCAGUGUUGCCUUGUGAAACUGCUUCAGAACUUCCUUACUCUUAUACUCCAAUCUUCCAAUAAAAGUUGAGGUUCUAAUAAUCUACAUACUUAUGUGCAGGAUCUGCAUGCUGACUUUUACUAGGACCACCCACAACUCCCCACAAGUCACCAACUAACACAGCAUUUUUUAGUUUGUUGCUCCUGAUUCCAGCAUCUGCUAUCUCUUGUGUUUUUAUUUUGUCGUUCAUUCCAUUUAAGAAAAAAUAGUAUUCUUCCUUCCAGUGUGGGAAAACUCACAUUCUCUCAUAUUAUACUCCAUCUUUCAAUUUCUUUCCCACUCAUUAACCUAUUUCUGUUCCUUUGCAGGCUUUGAGUUCUCUUCACAACUUUCAAAUCUCUUCUCUUUGUAUAACCUGGUGAAAGGUCUCUUCAUCUUUGUGUCCAUAUCAUUGACAUAGAUUAUAAAUUGUUGAGGUCUAACCUCAAUGGAACUCCAAUAGUUACUGCAAAAUGAACAUAUGGAUUUACAGAUUUAUCCCAACUCUGUUUACUCUUAGGUUAUUCCCCUUACCAUCUCUCAACUAGAUGUGUUGUUAACCUUACUGAAUGCCACCUAGAAAUUUAAAUUCACCAUCCUCUUUUCCAUCCUGUUUGUUACAUCCUCAAGGGACUCAGGCAAAUUUGACAAUGCCUAUUUUUCAUUCAUAAAACCAUUACCACUUCAUCAUGAUCCCAAGCCCAUAAUGGAGAUGGUUGAAGUCAGUCCCCGUGAUGGCUAACUACAACUGAUUAUAUUAACUGAAGCACACUGAUGACGUUGGAUGUAAAAUUAAGAUGCAACCCUGCUAAACUCAGCUGCAGCCAACCUGAACCUGAAGAUUUCUGGUAGCACAGUAGCAUAGGGGUCAGCGCAUUCGCUUUAUCAUUAAUCAGCUGGCGAUCAGCAAUCGGGAUUCAACUCCCACCACUGUCUGUACUGAGAUUGUGCCUCUCCAAUUGACUGCAUGGGCAUCUUCCCACAUUCUGAAGACACAUGGCUCCGGUCAGGGCUGGUAAGUUGUGGAUAUGCUGUAUUGACACUGGAAGCGUGGCAACACGAGUAGGUUGCUCCCAGAACAAUUGACACUAAUUUGA